AUUGAACGCUGGCGGCCGGCCUAACACAUGCAAGUCGAGCGGAGCGGCGGACGGGUGAGUAAUGACUAGGAAUCUGCCUGGUAGUGGGGGAUAACGUCCGGAAACGGGCGCUAAUACCGCAUCCUAUCAGAUGCGCCUAGGUCGGAUUAGCUAGUUGGGGGGGUAAAGGCCUACCAAGGCGACGAUCCGUAACUGGUCUGAGAGGAUGAUCAGUCACACUGGAACUGAGACACGGUCCAGACUCCUACGGGAGGCAGCAGAGGGGAAUAUUGGACAAUGGGCGAAAGCCUGAUCCAGCCAUGCCGCGUGUGUGAAGAAGGUCUUCGGAUUGUAAAGCACUUUAAGUUGGGAGGCGGUACCAACAGAAUAAGCACCGGCUAACUUCGUGCCAGCCGCCGCGGUAAUUC
rnacentral:rRNA from 1 species